rnacentral:lncRNA from 1 species
CCGGCAGGAACUCAGUCUGCAGGGCCUGGAGGCUCCGGGGCGGGGCCGCUGAUCUGCUCAGCUCGGGGCAGGAGCGUCCUCGCUGUCCUGGGCCCUCCUGGCCUCUGCCUGUUCCGGGGGGAGGCCGGAUCCUGGGCUGUGUCCCCGGCGCCCUGUGCUCCCGGUCUGCGCUGUUGGAUUCGCGCUCCCGCCCCGCAGCCCCCUCCGCAGAGCCGCCGCCUUCCCCCGCCCGAGCUGCUCCGGGUCCCGCCGUGCGCGCUGCAGCCCUUAGGGAGCUCGGCGCAGUCUCCCGGGGCGCAGGUGUCUGUUAGUGUCCCCGGGAGCCCGAGGGCAUCCCCGCCCUCCUGGGUCCUGCUCCAACUCCCUGGGAGCCCCUUUCCGCCCGGGAAGGUCGGUGCAGCUCCUGCUCUCCGGGACGGGGCUCUCCUGUCCUGGGGACACUCGCCCCGGCCUCAGCCCGGCUCCUCGCGGGGCCCCUCCCCCUUGGAGGCCUUUGUUUCUUUACUUCUUUUUCCCCGUCUUCCUACCUUGAUAGAAGCGCGAACUCUUCUCACUGUAGCAUUCCAGCUGGUCUCUCUUUAAAUCUCAGGCCGAAUUCAUAGAUUUUCAGGAUGAUUGGAAGGUUUUCUAGGUAAUUUGGUGGAGACAGGUGAUUUGAAGACCCUACUCUUCCGCCAUCUUGCUCCUCCCUCGAAUAAUGUUUUUAAGUGAAUGAAAUGAAACCCAUAGAAUUAAAAAGGAAACCAAUUAUUUUGAAAAAAAAAGUAAUAGUAUAUGUACCUCCAUAUUAAUGUAUCAAAUUUGGAAUUGGUAAACUUUUUCUAUAAAAGGCUAGAUAAUAAAUAUUUUUGGGUUUUUUUUGGGCCACAUAGUCUGUUGAAACUACUCAACUCUGCCAUUUAUAGUGGGAAAGUAACUAUAGACAAUAUGUACAUGAAUUAGCAUGGCUGUCUUCCAAUAAAAAUUUUAUUUACAAAAACAGGCAGCAGGCAUAGUUUGCCAAGUAGUAAGAUCUAAUGGGUCUGAUAACUAUUAUAAUUUUGAAGUAGCAGUGAGCAUAAAUAUUAUUUUGAGAUAUCUACAAUACCUGUAAUGUGAUAUGAAAAUGUCUAUAAUUUUUUCUUGAUGAUAAACUCAUAGUUAAUGUUAAUAGUAACUAUGGUUUGCACAUUCAUAGUUGAAGGAAAUGCUAAAUUAUAGUUAGAGGUUAGUAAAAAUAAAUAAUUUUUUCCCAUUCAAAUUCAUAGGCCUUCUGAAUUCUAUCUAUGGAUAAGAACCCCUGAGUCUUGAUAAGGAGUUAAAAAUAUAACUGUUGACAACUGAAUAAGCACUUAAUUCAGAAUGAAUCACAGCCCUUUCUGAGUUGCGUAAGCUUGGAAGAGACACAGAUCCUGGUCACACACACAGCUUUAU